GUGCUUGCUUCGGCAGCACUUAUACUAAAAUUGGAACGACACAGAAGAUUAGCAUGGCCCCUGGGCAAGGAUGACACGCAAAUUCGUUCAGUGUUCCAUAUUUUA
ensembl:snRNA U6 U6 spliceosomal RNA